AGCUGACGUUACUUUCAUGCUCUGUUUUCUCAUCUCCGGAUUUAUGAGACAGCAGCUCCUUGAUGGGCACAUGUAUUUCACCGAUGUCUUUAUCUCCGAAGCUGCGAUCGGACUUGAGCUUGAUUUCGAGAAUAAGGCGGUUGUCCUUGGCAGAAGCUUCAUGGAUGGUGAAUUUCAUAGGAAAAUUCCAUUUGGGAUUGGUUCCACAAUCUUUAUCGACAGGAGUUUUCUGUUUCUGCUUGGAAUUAUAAGGAUCGCCCUUGAUGGAAACCUCGGCGUAAACAUCCAUCUUGGAGAACAUAUUAACAUCUUUAAUGUCCUUGGCUGAGAUCAGAGUGAUCUCUAAUGGUCUGCACUCCAUGAUAGAUCGGAAAUUCAACCAAGAAGAUCAAAGAAUUGGGCAGAAAAGAAAAGAGGAAAAACUGAGUUAUUGAACAGAUAAGAGAGACUCUUGUAUUGGGAAAUCUGGG
rnacentral:misc_RNA from 1 species